rnacentral:lncRNA from 1 species
GUGAGGAACCUGGGUCAGAGGAAUCCAAGUCAGGUGGCGUGCCUGACCAAGAACGGUGGAGAAAACAGAAUGGGAAAUAAUGACAAAGUAGCCAAGGCUGGGAGGAACCGGUCCCGGAGCCCUACAGCGCGCAUCCAAGCAAUAAGAAGCGACUCCAUGCCCAUGACUGGAUGGAAGGAAACAGUGAAGCUGCCAGGAGGACACGGAAGGUAAUCCCCACGCGAUGGGCUACAGGGAAGAUAAGCAAGGGAUUUAGAAGUCAAGUCAGGAUGCCCAAAAAGGCUUCUUGGAGGAGGUGGCAAUCCCCUUGUAGUCCCUGGCCUCUACUCUCCACAGAUCUGACCCUACAAUGUGGGGCUUGAUGGGCACACUGCCCUAGCCAAUCAGAUUGCCCAUUCUUUUGUCUACAAUGGGAGAAAAGGCUGCUCUUUCUAGACAAAGGACGUAUCUUUCUAGACAAGUCCAUCAGAUUUCAUCCCCGGACCCCACACCCUCCAUUAGGAAAGAAGAUGGCUGUCUCCUUCUCCAGACCGGAUGAGUCAGGAUGAGCACCCAAGCUUGUUUCAGACAGACACAGAACAGAACGAUGCCUUUUGACUCCUGGAGAAUUCUGAUGUUGUAAGGAGCCUGUAACCUGGCAGGCAAAAGGCCUGGCUGAAGAGAGAUUAAAAGAAAGGGAGCAUAGACCCACACUACACGGCCAUUGUAGAUAAGAGUGAGAAUGUGUGGAGUGUAGCAAAGUGUGAUUAGCAAGAUUUAGCAAACUAUUUAAGGGACCAGCAGAACUGGGAACUUUAAAGUGUACCACGACUCUAUGUCCUGGAGCUCUCUUCCUCUAACCUGAAACAACCAGUCCAUCAAGCUGAGACCCAUACAGCAAUACCGGGUCCUCAAGAAACUCAAACAGCCUGAAUUCAGAGGAACAGAAGUAGAGAGCCCAAACCUGCGGGCGGCUGCAGGAGAGGUGCCCCCUGCUGUGAGCCUAUUGUCUGUGGUUCUUAGGAUUGUUUGCUUAUGCUUGUGUGUGUUACUUUGACAUAAGUGUGAAGUAAAACUUAU